AGCAGCCGCGGUAAUUCCAGCUCCAAUAGCGUAUAUUAAAGUUGUUGCAGUUAAAAAGCUCGUAGUUGAAUUUCGGGGUUAGUAGGUUGGUCGUACCACUGGUAUGUACCGGCUUUACUGAUUCCUCCUUCUUGAAGAACUGUAAUGCCAUUUAUUUGGUGCUGCAGGGAAUCAGGACUUGUUACUUUGAAAAAAUUAGAGUAUUUAAAGCAGGCUAACGCUUGAAUACAUUAGCAUGGAAUAAUAAAAUAGGACGUAAUGAUCCUAUUUUGUUGGUUUCUAGGAUUGACGUAAUGAUUAAUAGGGAUAGUUGGG
rnacentral:rRNA from 1 species